rnacentral:rRNA from 1 species
CGGGGAAUUUUGGACAAUGGGCGAAAGCCUGAUCCAGCAAUGCCGCGUGUGUGAAGAAGGCCUUCGGGUUGUAAAGCACUUUUGUCCGGAAAGAAAUCCUUGGCUCUAAUACAGUCGGGGGAUGACGGUACCGGAAGAAUAAGCACCGGCUAACUACGUGCCAGCAGCCGCGGUAAUACGUAGGGUGCAAGCGUUAAUCGGAAUUACUGGGCGUAAAGCGUGCGCAGGCGGUUUGCUAAGACCGAUGUGAAAUCCCCGGGCUCAACCUGGGAACUGCAUUGGUGACUGGCAGGCUAGAGUAUGGCAGAGGGGGGUAGAAUUCCACGUGUAGCAGUGAAAUGCGUAGAGAUGUGGAGGAAUACCGAUGGCGAAGGCAGCCCCCUGGGCCAAUACUGACGCUCAUGCACGAAAGCGUGGGGAGCAAACAGGAUUAGAUACCCUGGUAGUCCACGCCCUAAAACGAUGUCAACUAGUUGUUGGGGAUUCAUUUCCUAGUAACGUAGCUAACGCGUGAAGUUGACCGCCUGGGGAGUACGGUCGCAAGAUUAAAACUCAAAUGAAUUGACGGGGUCAUAGCUG